rnacentral:snRNA from 1 species
AGCUUUGCACAGUGGCAGUUAUCAUAGCCAAUGAGAUUUAUCCGAGGCAUGAUUAUUGCUAAUUGAAAAUUUAUCUUUAUAUACAUAGAAAAAUCACUGGAAGAUAUGCUA